GCAGUGGUGGUUCAGUGGUAGGCUUCUUGCCUUCCAUGCAGGAGACCCAGGUUUGAUUCCCAGCCGAUGCA
rnacentral:tRNA from 1 species